UACGUAGGGGGCGAGCGUUAUCCGGAUUUACUGGGCGUAAAGCGCGUUAAGGCGGUUGGCAAAGUUGGUGGUGAAAUUUCAGGGCUCAACCCUGAAACUGCCUCCAAUACUGGUCGACUUGAGUGCGAGAGAGGAAGGUGGAAUUCCCGGUGUAGUAGUGAAAUGCGUAGAUAUCGGGAGGAACACCAGUGGCGAAGGCGGCCUUCUGGCUCGCAACUGACGCUGUAGCGCAAAAGCGUGGGGAGCGAACGGG
rnacentral:rRNA from 1 species